rnacentral:rRNA from 1 species
AGGCAGCAGUGGGGAAUAUUGCACAAUGGGGGAAACCCUGAUGCAGCGACGCCGCGUGAGUGAAGAAGGUCUUCGGAUCGUAAAACUCUGUCCUUGGUGACGAAGGAAGUGACGGUAACCAAGGAGGAAGCCCCGGCUAACUAC